UCAAUAAGCGGAGGAAAAGAAACCAACAGGGAUUACCUCAGUAACGGCGAGUGAAGCGGUAACAGCUCAAAUUUGAAAUCUGGCUCCUUCGGGGCCCGAAUUGUAAUUUGUAGAAGAUGCUUUGGGUCUGGGCCUGGCCUAAGUUCCUUGGAACAGGACGUCGUAGAGGGUGAGAAUCCCGUAUGCGGCUGGCGCCCGUGCCCGUGUAAAGCUCUUUCAACGAGUCGAGUUGUUUGGGAAUGCAGCUCUAAAUGGGUGGUAAAUUUCAUCUAAAGCUAAAUAUUGGCCAGAGACCGAUAGCGAACAAGUAGAGUGAUCGGAAGAUGAAAAGCACUUUGGAAAGAGAGUUAAACAGUACGUGAAAUUGUUGAAAGGGAAGCGCUGGCAACCAGACUUGGGCGCUGUUGAUCCGUUAGGGUUCUCCCUAGGGCACUCAGCAGUGCGCAGGCCAGCAUCGGUUUGGGGGGUUGGAGAAAGGCUGGUGGAAUGUAGCUGCCCUCGGGCAGUGUUAUAGCCACUGGCGGCAUGCAGCCUCCCCGGACCGAGGACCGCGCUUCGGCUAGGAUGCUGGCGUAAUGGUUGUCAGCGACCCG
rnacentral:rRNA from 1 species